GGUGAGCGAGAGAACUCUCGUUAAGGAACUCGGCAAAAUGACCCCGUAACUUCGGGAGAAGGGGUGCUCUAUUAGGGUGCAAGCCCGAGAGAGCCGCAGUGAAUAGGCCCAGGCGACUGUUUAGCAACAACACAGGUCUCUGCAAAACCGUAAGGUGACGUAUAGGGGCUGACGCCUGCCCGGUGCUGGAAGGUUAAGAGGAGUGCUUAGCUUCGGCGAAGGUACGAAUUGAAGCCCCAGUAAACGGCGGCCGU
rnacentral:rRNA from 1 species